rnacentral:rRNA from 1 species
UACGUAGGGUGCAAGCGUUGUCCGGAAUUAUUGGGCGUAAAGAGCUCGUAGGCGGUCUGUCGCGUCGGCUGUGAAAACCCGGGGCUCAACCCCGGGCCUGCAGUCGAUACGGGCAGACUAGAGUGCGGUAGGGGAGACUGGAAUUCCUGGUGUAGCGGUGAAAUGCGCAGAUAUCAGGAGGAACACCGGUGGCGAAGGCGGGUCUCUGGGCCGUAACUGACGCUGAGGCGCGAAGGCGUGGGGAGCGAACGGG